rnacentral:lncRNA from 1 species
UUUUGGGUGUUGAAAAGUAAAUUUAAAAUUAUUUCAAAUAGUAGUAAGAAAUAACUUACAUAUGCCACAUCCUUGAUGCCUAAGUAAUACUUCAUUUUCAUUAUUAUAGUGCAAUAAUGUUUGGCAGUUCGACUAUUAUACUAUCGAUAGUACAAAAUUUUUGAUACUAUUGAAUUUUCUGUCGUUAGAUCUACCCUUUGAUCAUUUCCAUCCGUUAGAUUAUACUAUUCAACCAACCACCCCCUCAACUCUAGAGAACCACUAUUAUCCUAAUCGCACAUCUUUUUAUUUAACGACUGAAAAUUUAAUAGCACUGAACGUUUGGUAUUAUCGAUAGUAUAAAAACAAAAUUCUAAUAUUUGAACUAUGACUCUCUCUCUCUCUCUCUCUCUCUCUCUCUCUCUCUCUCUCUAUAGACAUAUAGCUUAUCAAAAGUCUUGCAUUUGUGGGCCCCACUUUCUAACCUUUUUGGCUUUUCUACAUAAGCAGUGUGGAAGAUUUGGUGAGAGGAUGAAAGUGAUCAGGGGCAUCACAUCUAAAGAAAAAGAAAUAUGCCGGCCAAAUAAAUCCCAUCCUUCCAAUAAAGUAGAGGCUUAUUAUUAUUAUUUAAUUAAGUGGCAUUUCCCACCCCCACACAAUUCUUUGUUUGGAACAAAUAAUUGAAUUAAAAUACUCUGUUUCAUUAAAAUACUUUGUUUCAAGAGCAGCUUAGUUUCAACUUAUCACAUAAGCAGUACAUUACAUGAAGGAAAAGAUGUGCUUAAUUUAGAUGCUGUGGACCAAUAAUUGAAGGCCACUUAUCACCCUUGAAUAAGGAAAAGAAAAAGGUGUAUAAUAUUUUGGGUCCAACCAUCUCUGUGGAAGAUAUUGUUUUAAGGCAUAAAAAAUAAAAAAAAAUAAUCCUAAGUUAGAAAAUAAUUCAGAAAUGGUCUCUAUGGAAUAAGACAUAAAAAUUUAACAAAUAUUAUCCUAUUAUAAAAAAUGGAACUGCAAUGACAUCUAUGAAAGGUAAAAUUUUAAGACAUAAAAUAUUUAACAAAUACUAUAUAUUCUAUGAUAGAAACAGAUCAGAAAUGACCUCUAUAAAAGAUAAAAUUUUAAGACAUAAAAAAUUUAACAAAUACUAUCCGAUGAUAGAAAACGGUUCAAAAGUAGCCUCUUAUGGCUAUAGCGCAUAGGAAGUUAACUUGUUGACUGCAAAAUAUGAAAAAUCAUCUUCUAUCAACCUAAGCCUUUAUAUAAAAGCUAAAUCAUUAGGAUUUCAAUAGUAAAGCUUCCAGAACGACUGUUCCUGACGUAAGUAGCAAAGAGUUUGAUAGUUAAAAUCCAAAAUCCCAAAUUUGAAGUCACAUUUCCAGUCAAGUUCAUUUAUAAAAGAAAAAAGAACGAAAUAAAUAAUGUGCUACUUUUCUCUUAAAAAAAAAAAGGGUAAAAUAGCCGGGUGGGGUAGGAAUGAAGCCAGAAAUUAAGAUUCGGGAGGCCCAAAAUUUAGAUUUGAUAGGAAAAAAAUUCGAUCUUGAAUAGUAAGAAAAAAAUUUGGCAGAUUCACUGAUAUCGACAAUAUGCUCAAAAAAGAACCAGACCGUAAGAAUUGAAGGAAAAUGACCAAGAAAUUUGAAAAAAAAUUGAGGCACAAAUUUUGUUAAAAAAAUUAAUUUGGCCCCCUAAAAUUAAAAUUUAUAAUAUUUUAAUUUUUAUUAUAAAGAACUUUUAUAUAAUUUUAAAAACUUUAGGGGGGACCAUGGCCACUGUGGGCUCCUCAAUAGCUCCGUCCCUGCCGGUGGGGGAUCAUGGAUUUGAAUCGCAUGUGGAAUCACUGUGGCCCAGCUAAAAGUGGAGAAAAUUAGUUGUUUAAUCUAGUAUCAAACUAUUAUAAUAUGUCUUAGGCAUGCUAAAAGUUUCAUGCCAAGAAGCAUACUGAGUAACAGCAUGAUGGUUAAGGGCGCGACGGAAAACAUCUAUAUUUAGUGUAAUUAGUUAAGAGUUUGAUAAUUGAUAUAUGAUGUCAAAGUAAGUUUUUUUAUUGAUUCAUAUUUCUACCUAAGUUUAUUUUUAAAAAUAAAAAAUUGGUACUAACUAUCCUUCUCUCUCUUUCAAAAAAAAAAAAAAACAAAAAAAAACAAAAAAAAAGAGAGGGAAAAGUAGUUGUUAAUUUAUUAUUAAAUGAACUACUCCAUUUUGAGCACUAGUAUAGCCUAUCUAAAUGUAGUCACACUAAUCAAGGCCCGGGCACAACAGGAACCUAUCCAUUUAUUAUUUUUAGGGAAAACUUCAAAAACCCCCCUGUAGUUUCGUACAUUCUUACUUAGCCCCUCUGUGGUUUAAAAUGUAUCAAAUUGCGCCCCUGUGGUUUCGUUUUUAUCAUUUCGGUAGCUUUUUCGUUAAUAUUUUAUUAAAUUAUAUACAAAAAACUUUAGAUGUCCAUCUAGAUUUAUCAAAUAUUACUUGAGUACCCUUUAAUUUUAACUUUAUCACUGAUUUAAGAAAAAAAAUAAUGAAAUUGAUAAGAAAAAGAGAAAAAAGAAACCACGGGGAGGCAAAUUGAUACAUUUUAAAUCACAGGGAGGCAGAGUGAGAAACUACGAAACCACAGGAAGAUUUUUUGAAAUUUUUUCUUAUUUUUAAAUGAACUACUCCAAUUGAUUUUCAUGUUUAUUUUAUUUUAUUUUUUAAUUCUUUUAAAUAUUUUUUAAGAUUUAAGCGUUUGACCAUUUGUGCUCAAUCGCAUGAUUCGCAUCUCGACUUUUCCAACGUGAAAUUAAUCAAACCCCCGUACGAUCCUCACCCAUCUCCUCCCCAUGCCUCAAUCAAGAUUCCAAUAGAUUUUUUUUUAAAAAAAAAAGUUAAAGUACUCGUGUUGAAUAAUAUGAAAUAAUUAUUUACUGUUAAAAAUUUAAGCCGGUAGAGAACGUGAAUAAUUUUGUAAUCCGAAAUGACCAGAGCGGUUAACACUCUAUAAGGCACAUUUCGCGUGCCGAAGUCGAAAAAAAAAUAUUAGCUUAACUAUAAAAUCUAUUUUGCGCUUUAUUUUGUGUCUCAUAUAUCCUCCUGCACAAAAGGAAUUACAACGUUGCACUUUAACUCUGUCUAAGAAGACUGGGGCCUCCGCAGUUUGUUUGGAGGAAAGAAAAGGGCGGUCUCGUCUUUCUCCGUAUGCUGCUGAAGCAACUGCGGACGGACUCUUCCUUUUUAGGCUUCGUUUGGUUCGGGUAUAAGCAAGAAAAUAGUUAUACCGGGGAUAGGUACAAAAAUGAAUUUUCGUAGGAACAAAAGUAUUUUUUUGUUUGGAUGAAAAUAUGAGUAUAAGCUGGAACUAGAAAAAUUGUGUUUGGAUGAAAAUCUGAGUAUAAGGUGAAAUAGUUGAUAGUUAUAGAUAGAAGGGGCAAUUUCAUAGGUACCCCUCCCAAAGUUUAAAAUAUCAUACAUGCCCCUAUAAAGUUUAAAAUAUCAUAUAUGCCCCUGUAAACAUUGAAAAUUAUCACCAAUGCCCCUACCGUCAGUUGUGUUAGUUUUACUAUAGUUAUUAAAAGAUUAAAGAUGGGUUAACUUUUAAAAUGACCUAUUUGCCCUCAACUAUGCUUUAAUAAGUAAAAAAAUGUAUGAAAAUCCUAUCUUUUUUUAAUAUUGGAAGCUUAAAAUUUUUUUAACCAAAGUUAUUCUCAAAUAUAAUAUAUUUUAGCCUAUGAACAAAACUCUUUUUUUUUUUCCGUUGACAGAAAAAUGCAUGCAUAUUGUUAUUUGAUUUAUUUUUUAUUAAAUAGGAAAAAAAAUUAAACCUAUAUUUUAUUUCAAAAUUACUAUUACUGAUUAGGAAUAUGAAUUGAUAUAGGUACAUAAUUUUAUCUGAACUCGGGAUUUUAUAGGGUGGAGUUAUCGUGUAGAGUACGAUAAUUUCAAGUUAAAAUUAAAAAAAAAUAAUACAAUUAUAUUAAACUCAGUUUCACGCUCUCUCUCGAUUUAUAUUUAAACCCAAAACCUGAUACCACGAAAUCCGAAGCCGAAAACAAAACUAAAAAUCAUAUAAAAAAUAUUAUAAUAAAAUACAAAUAUUCUUAUACUAUUUUUUAAAAAAUAAAUAAUAAUAUUAUAUUUAAUUUAAUAUUGUAAGUAUAUAAAAUAAUUAAUUUAGGUUUAAGAAACUGGUCUUGAAAUAUCUGAAUACUCAGUAUUUGUGAUGUUGAUGAGAGAUAAAGGGUAAAAAUGGUAUUUGAGAAACUCUAACUCCAUUUUCAGGGACUUGACAGACUUUACUACGCUCAGGAGAUAUCACUGAUAAUCUUCUUGAUAUAAUAUGCGAGGGCAUUCAUGAAUUAUUGGUUUUAUGAAGGGGCAUUGAUGAAAUUAAUAGUUCCUAGGAACGGCAUCUAUGAAUAUUAUACCCAUAGAAUAGGGAAAUAUGGUUUACCUUUAUAAUUGAGAUUUAAUAUUUUUAAUAAUAAUUUUAAAUUUAAAAAUUUUAAUUCUUAAAUGUUUUACAAUUUGAAAAAUUAAAAAUUAAAAUUAUAAUUUUAAAUUUUAAAUUUUAAUAUCAAAUUUUAAAUUUAAGAUCAAAUUUAAAUUUGAAAGAUAUAAAAUAUAAAAUUUUAAAUUUUAAAUCUAAAAAAUUAAAUUUAAAAUUUAAAAAUUACAAAUAUCAAAUUUAUAAUUUAAACAUUAAAAUUUAUAAUUUAAAAUUAUAAAUUUAAAUUUUAAAAAACUAAAUUAUAAAUUUUAGAAAUUAAAAUUAAAAUUAAAAAUCUCUCUCUCUCUCUCUCUCUCUCUACCCGGGAGGGGUGGAACAACUGUUCCACCCCUUGUUCCACCCCUUGGGGUGGAACAAGUCCCCAACCUGGAAUUGUACCAGGUUGGGGUGGAACAAGUGUUCCACCCCUCUAAAUUGUGUUUGAGUACAAGAGGGGGGAUAACCCUCUUAUAUCCCCUCUUGUACCCAUUCAAACGGGGUGUUAAAUUUUGGCGGAAGUGUUAACGACGAUGACGUGACAGAUCAUUGACCUUAGAAAAAACGGUUAACUUUUCGCACAUGAACGUUUUUUCUUGGUUCCUCUCAGGGUUUGAACUUUGAAAAUAUUGAACCUUGAAAAUUUUCUUCAAGAAGCUUAGGCUUAAAACUGCGCUAUCGCGGUAUAUCGAUGCUAAAAUUAACGAAUACUUUUAAUAGAAUCCCAAAUUAUUAGACCGGUUUGACACAAAGCUAAAGUGCAGGAUUAACAUUAUUUUUUUGGCGAAACUAUAAAAAAUUUCUUAUAAAUACCAGCUUUUUUAUUUUUUUCUCUGUAAAUUUCGAAAAUCUAUGUUUUACCUCUCGACAUUUCAAGUUGUUGCACUAAGCCCCCAUCCGUCAAGAUUCCAUCACUAUUCCAUCUAAUUCUUAUAAUUUAUACCGAAAAUAUUCCUUCAAAAUGAUAAAAAUAUAUUAAAAAUUAUUUUUCUUUCUUAUAGAAGAAGUAAGGAUAAUUUGAACAUUCUAUUCUCUGCAUUAACACCAUACCUUUUUAAAAAUAUUUCUAAACUUUUUAGAAGGAUAAAAUAUUGACUUUUAAAAGCCAAAAAAGAAAAAUAAAAAAAAAGUAUUUAAAGAAAGUUUUCUAUAAUUUAGCGUUUAUUAUUAUUAUUAUUUUUUUAACGCAUAUGAAUAUUUGAGAUACAGAACAAAGUACACGGAGGGUGUUUUAUAAAUAAAUCGAAAUUAUUUUUCUUGGAGAAGCUAAAGCCUAAGCCUGUUUUUCAGAGUCUACUUUGGUUGCGUCAACUUUGAUAUUUUUUUUCUUUUAUUUUUCCCUCACAAUCAUCUUCGCGAAGAUUAAAAUAUGAAUUUUUUUUGGUCUUGUUGAAGUAAAUCUCUCACCCAAUUUAUUAGCACAUUGAUAAACACAAUUUCCUUCUUAGUUAGUUGAAGCAUUAACUAGGAAUAAAUGAUAUUAUUAUUUUCUAAAUUAAGAUGUUGCCAUAUUUUUUUUUUUAUAUUAAUACAAAGCUCAUACUACAAGCUAAUGAUCUCUUAUCAUAGCAUCUGCGAGAUAUAAUAAUAAUAAUAAUAUAUAAUGCAAAAGAGUAGUUGUUGACUUGUAAAGCCCAAUUAAUUAAUUAAUUAAUUAAUUAAUUUUAUGCUCAUUGAGAUAUAUAAUAAGCACACAUGUAAGUUCAUGCCUACUCUACUUUAAUAAUGAUAUAUAAACUAACAUGUUAUCACGAACUUCAUUCAUUGAAUCUCUCUAAACUUCUUUUUUUAAGAAAAAAUCUUAGGAGCAUGCUCUCUAUAAUUGACUACAAAAAUAUGUUUCCUAGUAAAAUAUGAGGAAAUGAGCAUUCAAUUAUUGGUGAUAAUAUAUUGACUUAUCAAUAGGUAGAUAACUUGAUUAAUUUGAUAGUUUAUAGCCAAUCAAUGUAGUUGUCAUUUUCACAAAAAAUCCUUGCAUUUUAAUGCAACUUUUACUUUUGGUUCCUUUUCUCUUGGAAACUCUUAUCUCAUUAGAAAAGUUAGGAGGUUGAAAUUUGAAAUUUGUUGUUAAACAAUCACAAAGAUUCAAUUUCAUGAGUUAAAAGAGGAUCUACGCUUCGCUUCUGCUUUUAUUUUCAGUAGUAUUUGGAUUUUAUAGGCAUUUUGAGCCUCAAAGAAAGAGGCCUCAAUUUGAUGCCUUAACAUCGGAUUUUGUCGAAAAUGUUCAUAAUACGCUGUCAACUGAAAUUGAAGUAGUGUCGAAAGCAGUAAAUUUUUUUGGGGUACCUUUCUAGGAAAAUAAAUUUAGAUAUUUUCGGAUCCAGUAUUGAUUAUUAAAGCGAUCCACUUCAGGUCUAAUCAAUCCAAAUCGAUCAUUUGGAAUGCUAGAACGAACCUCAAAAUGCUUCAAUCGUUCGUCGACGAAUGUCACACUUUCUUUUUUGGAUGGAGCUCUUGCUUUUUUAGAAAUGUUGUGCAGGCUGAUCAACUAGGUAAUUGGAGUCUGUCUAAUAAAAAAUAUACUGUAUGGUCCUCUUUUGAAAAAUUUUUCAAUUCGAUAUCGUCUUAUUUUAUUUAAAUAAACUUUCGCUCUCGAAUAAUUUUCCUAAAAAAAAUUAUCGUAUUUAUAGUAAUAUGAUCAUUUCUUAGACGGCAUUUUUAUUAGGCCAAUUUGCAUAAAAAAUCCACUUAUUUUGGGCUUUUGCAAAAUCGGGCCACCUUUUUCAUUUUUGCAGAUUCGGUCCGCUUUUUCAGCAAACUGACCAAAAUACCCUUAUUACUUUUUCUCUUUCCUCUUUCUCUCUCUUCUUCGUUUCUCUCGUUCUUUUUUUUUUUCUCGCCGGUAGAGCGGAGGCGGCCUUUCACUCUCAUGCUCUCGCCUUCGCCCUUGCCCUCGUCCAUGCACCCCCACCUUCCUCACCUCCGACCCCGUUAAGGCCGCGCCGCGACUUUUUUUUUUUUUUUUUUUUUUUUCUUUUCUUUUCUUCUCCGACUCUUCUCCACCGUCUCCGACGACGACGCCUCUCGCCCUUCCCCGCCCUUCUCAUCUCUCCCUCUCCCUCAUUUUCUGCCGCCUCCGACGACGAUUUAUCUUCGCCGGCGCCGACGUCGACACCGUAGAGGUCACUGCGGCGCUACAGCCUCGGAGCGGGGGGUCCUUAGCGGCGUCGUCACCGGCGCCGUCACCGGCGCCGUAGCUGUUGGCAGAGAAGGUGACAAAAAAAUUAUAGAAAAAACAGAAAAAAAAAUAAAGAUAAAAAAUUAUAUAAAAAGAAGGAUGAAGAUGAAAUUACAUCGUUAAUUACAAAAAAAAUUAUAAGUUGCACUAUUUAAGAUGUAAACUGCUGCUUUAAGAUAAAAAUUAUACUCUUUGAACGAAAAUUAUACUAUUUUUUAUCUUAAACUGCAUCCUUUUAAGUGAUAUUUAUACUGUUUCUCCUCUUGUUGCACUGUUUCUCCUGUUGUUGCACUAUUUCUCCUCUUAUUUACACAGAAAUGGUGCAACAAGAGGAGAAACAGUGCAACAAGAGAAGAAACAGUAGAUAUAUCUCUUAAAACAGUGCAGUUUCUCCUCUUGUUGCACUAUUUCUCCUCUUGUUUACACAGAAAUGGUGCAACAAGAGGAGAAACAGUAUAUAUAUCUCUUAAAACAGUGCAGUUUCUUCUCUUCUUGCACUGUUUCUCCUCUUGUUGCACUAUUUCUCCUCUUAUUUACACAGAAAUGGUGCAACAAGAGGAGAAACAGUAUAAAUAUCUCUUAAAAGGGUGCAGUUUCUCCUCUUAUUGCAUUGUUUCUCCUCUUGUUGCACUAUUUCUCCUAUUGUUUACACAGAAAUGGUGCAACAAGAGGAGAAACAGUGCAACAAGAGAAGAAACAGUAGAUAUAUCUCUUAAAACAGUGCAGUUUCUCCUCUUGUUGCACUAUUUCUCCUCUUGUUUACACAGAAAUGGUGCAACAAGAGGAGAAACAGUAUAUAUAUCUCUUAAAACAGUGCAGUUUCUUCUCUUCUUGCACUGUUUCUCCUCUUGUUGCACUAUUUCUCCUCUUAUUUACACAGAAAUGGUGCAACAAGAGGAGAAACAGUAUAAAUAUCUCUUAAAAGGGUGCAGUUUAAGAUAAAAAAUAGUGUAACAAGAGGAGAAAUGGUGCAACAAGAGGAGAAACAGUGCAACUUUUGUUUAAAGAGUGUAACUUUCAUCUUAAUGGAUGCAGUUUACAUCUGAAAGAGUGUAAUAAGAAGAGAAACAGUGUAAAUAUUUCUCAAAGAGUGUAAUUUUCGUUUAAAGAGUGUAGUUUUCAUCUUAAAGCUGCAGUUUACAUCUUAAAUAGUGCAACUUAUAAUUUUUUUUGCAGUUAACGAUACAAUUUGAUGUUCAUCCUUCUUUUUAUAUAAUUUUUUAUCUUUAUUUUUUUUUUUUUUUUUUCUAUAAUUUUUUUUUGUCACCUUCUCUGCCAACAGCCACGGUGCCGGCGACGACACCGCUAAGGACCCCCGCUCCGAGCCUGUAGCGCCGCAGUGACCUCCACGGUGUCGACGUCGGCGCCGGCGAAGAUGCAUCGUCGUCGGAGGCGGCAGAGAAUGAGGGAGAGGGAGAGAUGAGAAGGGCGGGGAAGGACGAGAAGGACGAGAGAGGCAUCGUCGUCGGAGACGGUGGAGAAGAGUCGGAGAAGAAAAGAAAAGAAAAAAGAAAAAAAAAAAAAAGUCGUGGCGCGGCCUUGGCGGGGUUGGAGGCGAGGAAGGUGGGGGGUGCGUGGACGAGGGCAAGGGCGAGGGCGAGGGCGAGGGCUAGAGAAUGAGGGUGAGAGGCGAGACGGACGUUUCCGCCUCCGCUCUGCCGGCGAGAAGAAAAAAGAACGAGAGAAACGAAGAGGAGAGAGAAAGAGGAAAGAGAAAAAGUAAAAAGGGUAUUUUGGUCAGUUUGCUGAAAAAGUGGACCGAAUCUGCAAAAACGAAAAAGGUGGUCCGGUUUUGCAAAAGCCCAAAAUAAGUGAAUUUUUUAUGCAAAUUGGCCUUUUUAUUAAAUAGUACUAUAACUAAUAAUGUAUAAAGCCAAACAAACUCAUGGUUGGCAACUUUGGAAAUGUAUAAAUAAAAUUAUCUAUGCAUAAAUUGUUCAGAUUAAUCCUUGUUCGUUACUUAUCAUAUAAAUCCUUUAGAUAAUAUGUUAUCAGAUCCAGUAUUAUAUGUGCUUCGAAAUUUGAUUAACAGUUUCGAUUUUGUGCCCCGGAUUUGCUGAUAGUUUAAUGAUAUGACAAAGCCCCUGAUUUGCCGAUAGCUUCGUCGUACGAUACAUUUAAAAAAAUGAUUUGUGAAGGAAAAAGAUGACUGACGGGGAGGGGGGGCGGGGGUGCGGGUGCGGAUCCGAUAAUAAAGAAAUCCGUUAAGAAACUUCUUUUUUUCUUUUUACCCUAGAGGCUACAAGCGUAUGAUACUUUGAAAAAUUGUAUUUUUAUUGAUGCAGCCUUAAUUUAUAUAUAAUUUUUUAUUUAAUAUGGUUAAUUAGUCGUUAGCUAUUGGUUAUUUCAAUUUCAUAUUCACUAAAAAAUGAUAAAGGAUACUAAAUUUAAUUGAAUCACUAAUAUAUUAAACAAAGUUCUUAAUUUAACUACAUUAUUAGAAUUAAAGAUUAAUAGCUCUUAAUGGUUAUUAUAUAUAUGAUUAUCCACAACGAAGCGUGGGUUUUCCGCUAAUAAAGAAAGAUGAAAGAUGCCUUGAAAAGUGGCAUAAAUAAUGCAUCUUUGAUGUAGAAUAUAAUUAGCAUAUAUAGUUAGGUGGAUUUCAACUAAAUAAAGUGAUUGUUAAAGUAACUAAGUUGUUGUUGCAAAUAGAUUGGAGAUGCUAAAUGGCUUCUUCAAGAAUCUGUAGACAAGAGUCCUCCACUAGUUCGCGAAGCUCUUUUUAAAUUCGGUUAGAUUUGAUAUAAAGUAUUUAAAAUCUCUAAAAAUAAACUUCAUAAUUUUCGAUAUCAUUUAUCUAGUGAUGAUCAAAGGGGCCCAAAAUUUAGUUCCUAAAUAUUUUUAGUAGUAUUGAUCAUGUUUAAUAAAGCAGAUCAUCGAUUCGGAUGUCCCAUUAUUAAAAACAACUUGGUAAUACGGAGACUUCCGUGCUAUUUGUAGUAUACGAGCUAGACCGACUCUCUCUCUCUCUCUCUCUCUCACUAAGGAAUAUAAUUUACCUGAGUUGGGCUAGAAUACUUUUAAGAAUAUUAUGGUUUUGAAACAAUUGAGGUGUUUUUAAUGAUUGAGCAUCAAAAUCAACAAUUCACACUACUUAAAAUGGUGCAGAGAAUUUGAUAUAUUUUUUUGAUGUUUUAAAAAAAUUUGUGUGUGUGUAUAAUUUGCAUAAUAUAUAUAAUAACCCUGUCUAAAGCAAAUAAAUUAUUCUUUUAUUACAUGUAACAAAUUAACUUAUUGCAACCCAAAUCCCUCCAUAGUAAUCGAAUUUAAUUCAAAUUUAAAAUUUUUGAAUGUGCAAGACUUCCGAAAUCAAAAAUUGGACCUCGAAGGUCCCGGAAAAUUUACAUACAACAGAAGCGACAUCAAAAGAACCUCAACAAAAAAAAAAAACCUGUGCAUGAGCAAUUGGUGAUAAGGAUGCUAUUUUAAAAAGUUAAUAACUAAUUAGCCAAUUAAUAUGAAUUGAUAAAUAUAACUAUCACAAACAAUAUGAGAGACAUUAUUAAGCCUACCAUAAUGAAAAAGAUAAGUAGAUGUAAAUAGAGACACAAGAACUCUGCUGCUCUACUUCAAAACAUUAUCUCUCACCUUCAUACACUGCAUGUCAUUCCAAAAUAACUCAUUCAUAAUGUAUUCAAUUGCUCUACGUAUAUAUUAUUCAUCAUCACCGACGCUAUCGAAGAUACUCGAUCGGUCUAGUAUAGUAUCCAGAAGUAACGCAUGCUAGCCUCUUGUUAGCACCUCACGAUUUGAAAUUAUCCUAUAAAUAUAUGAGAGAUAAUAUGACUAAAUUUUUUAAUCUAGCUAUAGUAUUUUGGACGAUGGUAAGACUCAAGAGGUUAAAAGAAUAAUGCGUGUUAGAACUAAAGUAGCUCUAGAACAGGUGAUCUCUUGAAAAACGGAGCGUCACAGUUGGUAUCAAAGCCCAUCAACAGCGCGGCUUCCCAGCUAACGAACGUUCUAGGUGGAGCGUGGCUCUCUACAACGUCGGGUGAGGGUAACGAGACAGAUCUCGCAUCGCCUGAUAUUUAUGAAUGUGCUUGAGUCCGACGAGAACGUCAGGACUUAAAAGGAUUAAUUAAUCUCUUAAUCCGACUAUAACAUUUAGAUAGUGGUCAGACCUAAAAAAUUAAAAAGAUUAAGGCUUCGUUUGGAAAUGCAGGGAGAUUGCGUUACGUGCGGUGAGAAAGUACAUUGGAAAAAUUACCUUGUUUAUUUCUAUAAGUAAUAUUGCGUUCCGCAUAACGCGAUGAGCUGGUUACGAAAUAUUUUCUACAGUCUCACCGGAGAACGCAGAAGUAUAUCCUUAUAUGUUUUUUCCUCAACUCCAUUUUAUCUAAUAGCGUUAGAUAGAUUUCAAUACCAAACUAAGUCUAAGUGUGCUAGAGUUGGCAACUUGUUUUUCUAUUCUACGUCGCGAUAUUGUAAAGAGAGAUUUGGAAACGCACUUUCUUCUUGGCGACGCACUUGCACGAAUGGUGCGGCGGUCGGUCCAAAUUGUCCGACUAGCCAGUCAGCGUAGCCGGUCGUUCACGGCGGAAAACGACUGAAAAACAAACAAAAAAAAAAAAAAAAAAAAAAAAGCGUUUUCCAGUUUGAUUGAUAAGUGCUUCCACCUCUCUAUUCAUAAAUAGGGUUAAUAAAAAAAAGACACGAAUAAUCAAUCAGGGGCCCAACUGAUGGUGGCUCGGAAGCUUCUCGGAGUCUUUGCUUUGAACCUUCAUUUGGACUCUCCCUCUCCCUCUCCCUCUCCCUCUCCCUCUCUAAAUUUGUUUAGCACAUGUAUAGGAAAAUUUCAAGGCAAAUUUUGCUUCUUCCAUUCAUGAAUAGUAGUGUGCUAUCUUAUCUUGUUUCCACAUAUAUGUAUACUAGUUAAGGUGCCCCGCGCGAUGAGAUAGAAAGAUAAUACAAUAGUAAAUUAUUAUAAUUAUUAAUAUCAUUUUUUUUUUCUUUAUUAUGCAUUAAUAUUUUUAAAUAUUAUUUAUCGUAGACCUUUCAUAGGAUGCGAAGAGCAGUUCGAACCUAUAAGGGUCCUCGAUUAAUAAGUUCGAUGCGGCGGGAAGAUAAUAAUACAAUAGUAAAUUAUUAUAACUAAUUUUGAAAUUCAAAUAUCAAAUUUAAAAUAAAAAAUUAAAGUUUGAAAUCAAAAUUUACCAAAUUUAAGUUUGAAUCAAAAUUUAAAAAAUUUAAAUUUGAAAUCAAAAUUUAGAUUCAAUUUAAAAUUCAGUUUAAAAUUUGAAUUCAAAUUAUAAUUCAAAAUUCUAAUUACAAAUAAGUUCAAAAUUUUAAUUUUAAGAUUGAUUCUAGAUUUAAAUUUAAAAUUUUGAAUUUUUAUAUUUUGGGACUAAAGUGAAAAUUUUGUAAAUUUAAGAACCAAAAUUGAUAUGCAAAAGAAAAAUAAAGUAUUAUUUUUGGACCCUAAAGUCUCCAAAAAUAAAAAAUUAAUUGAAAUGAAAGCACUAUUUUGGUUGGUUUCCAAAAUAAAUUAUUAUAUAUUUAUAAAUAAAAUAUUAUAUAACAACAUAUUUAUAUAAAAAAUAAAAUAAAANGUCCUAAGUCUUUUUUCCGUGCUUAAUUAAUUUGAUUCGUUGAAGGGUGCCUAUCAUAUAUAUUGACUUGACUAUGCUUUUUAUUUUUGAGAAAGAUAGGUAGCACGCUACCCGCUUCGUUUAUUUUAUUUAGAAAUAAAAUUUGACUAUGCUAAAGUGACAAACGUAUGGGAUAGUCUCCAUACUAUUUUGAUAUUUCAUGGUGGUCCCUGCGAGUUUCACGUGUUAACAUAAUUUAAUUUUUCUCAUAUUAAUAUAGACAUUUUAUAUCUUCUGAUAAUUAGCUUCUCGCUCAUUUUAAUUUUCUAAAAUCCGUGAUAUUGGGAUGAGUUCUAGAACGUAUUUCUAAAAUAUCAACAAAUCAUAAAUCAUAAAUUUUACACAUUGAUUAUUUCUCACAAAUCAAAUAGCCAUAAAAAUUCCUGUCUAUUUGCGGAUAAUCAUCUAAACUUUUAAAAAAUUUCAUUUAAUACCUAAACAUUCAAAAAUUUUUUAAUUAGUGACGUAAAUUUAUAUUUUAUUAAUUUAAACUGAUCAAAGUUUGUUACAAUGGUGUUAUAUAUGAAUCAUUUUAAAUAUAUACAAUAGCUUUUGGUAUUUCGUAGCCAAACACUAUUUGUAAUAAGUUUACUUUAUUUAGAAUAAGUUUUUAAUUUAAAAAAUCAGCCUUUUUAGCAAAAUUAACUUUUAAAAACCAAAAUUCACCGUAAUCCUAAACACUCCUUUUAUGUGACCAUGAAAAACACGCAAUUGUAGCUUAAUAUUCCUUGUAGGACCUACAGGAGAAUUAUGACUCCAUACCAUUAUCAAACCUUUCAUGUGAAUUGUGAUAGCUUAGCCAUAUAUAUAACAUUUAGGGCGCGUUUGGUUCGAAGUUGGAGUCGGAAUCGAAAUCGGAAUCAAAAUAAGCUAGAAUCGGAAUCGAAAUGACUCAUUACCUAAUUCUGUUUGGUUCAUCACCUGAAUCGGAAUCGGAAUAAAUCAUUCCCAUUGUCGAUGUUUGGUUCAGGUGGAUAUAAAAAACGUAAUCAAAUUAAUAUAUUAACAUUAUCUUUAUAAUAUAUUAAUUUAAAUUCACAUUAAAAAUUAAAUAUUAAAAAUUUAUAUCAAAAUUUUGAAAUAAUAUCAAAAUUUUAAAUCUAUUUUUUUAAAAAAAAAUUAAACUUUGAAGUUGAGUGGAUAAUUCAAAUUAUGAAACUAAAUUUUGAUUUAUUCAAAUUCAAACUAAAAUUACAAUUUAAAUUUUAAUUUGAAUCCAUAAAUUUAAUUUAAGUUUGAAAUAAAAUUUGAAUAAAACUUUAUAUAAAUUAAAAUUUAAUUUAAAUUCAAAUUCAUAAGUUAGAUUCGAAAUACUUGAUUAAAUUUUAAUUUUUAAUUUAAGUUCAAAUUAAAAUUUAAAAUUAUAUAUUAUAUUUUAAUUAAAAAAGUUAAAAAAUAAAUUUAAUCCAAAUAAAUAUCCAUUCCGUCCGGAUUCAACUUUUAAUCCGGCCUCCUAGGCCGGAUUGAAAAAUGAGGUAAUUGGGGGAUUCCCAUUCCACUCAGGAAUCAGAAUCGGAAUGGGACUCUCGUGUACCAAACACCUACAAACGGAUUUACCCAUUCCGAUUCCGAUUCUAGGGUGAAAAAGAAGCGAAUACUCUAAUUACACAGCCUCAUAUAAGUCGGCUACUUGUAUUUAAUAUCACGAUAGCACUUGGUUGCUUACAAUAGUUUUUCUACCUAUUUAAGAUAUCUACCUCUUUUGAUUCAUUUUUCGGUACCGCUUAGACAUACAUUUUUAAACCAAAAAACUUCAUCCCACUCUACUUAUAGCGGGUGCCCACAUCAUGGCUCUAAUUGCAUCACUCUCUUAAUUCAAUGGCCAAAAUACUUUCUUUUGGUUUAGCACCAAUGACUUUCUUAUUCAUAGCAUAGUAGCCUAAGUUCUCUCUCUCUCUCUCUCCUCUCUCUUUUCUCUUCUUCUCUAUAUAUAUUUAUUUAUAUAUAUAACAAUAUAUAUAUUUAUAUAGCGUGGUCUGGAAAUGUUACUGAAGCACUCGGAGCUCUCGUGCUUCCAAGUUCGUUUUUCAAUGUUCCGCACCUCUUUCGAUAUCUCGUACAUUCGACUCCUAGACUUGAUCUAGAGUAUUUGAAGUAUUCUAGAAAUAUAAAUAUUGUCUGAAUUUCUCGAUUUAUUUGUCCUAAGUGAUUCUGGGAAUUGGCCAAAAUCCAACGCGCUUGAAAAUUAAAAAUCAUACAAAAAUAUGAUGUAUGAUUGACAUUAAAUUUUAGAUCAAAUUAUGAUCGUUGUUUAUUAUCGUAUAUAAGAAUUUUCUAUUUCAAAAUUCAUGUGAAUUUGGAUAUUUCUAGAACCAGUUAAACUUGUGCCAAAUGGUUCUUCACCACUGGCCGGUUAAAAUUAUUAUUUUAGCCCUUUCGAAUUCUAGGCAAAUGAUGAUCGCAAAAUAAUCACAAAAUUUUUAUUUUUUCUAGUAAUUACUUCAAAAUUACGUCUAGCAUCAACUUUCUUAACGGUAGCUCCGAUCGUCGAUUCAAAAGUUCCGAAUCAUCGAAUAAUACUUGAAGUCACGGAGGGCUGCGUUGCUUUUCCAGAAGCAUACGGAUCGCCACUCUCUUUCUCUCCUCUCUUUCUCUCUUCUUUCUCUUCUCUCUCUCUCUCUCUUCUCUCCUCUUCUCUCUUCUCUCCUCUCUCUCUUUAUUGUUGUAAUAUACUAUAUUAUUUUAUACUAUAUAUAUAGCUAUUAUAGUAGACCUAGGUUGUGUAAUACCAUCAAUAGCACCAAGCAUUUUGUGCUAUUAGUUUUCGGCUCUUGGAUUUAAAAAAACUUGUAUGUAUACGGUUUAGGAGAUUGGCCCCUCCUGGGGUUGAGUUGAUUUCUAUAGUUGUGUUGGUUUAAUAGUAUAAUCUAACGGUUGUAAAAUAAAUAUUAUAUUAUAUAUUUAAUAAUUAUAUAUAUAUAUAUAUAUAUAUAUGAGUGGAGCUACUAUGCUAUCGGAAGCAUAGAGGAUCUGGUGCUUCCGAUUUUUUGGCCUUAGAUCAACCCCUUUAAUCAUUUCUAACAUUUAUAUUAAUACUAUUAAUCUGUGAGGACCACUCAACCCUACGGGUACUACUCAACCCUGAGGGGACCGCAAUCAUCCCAACCAUAUAAUUUUUGAUCCAAUGGUCAAAAAGUUGGAAGUAUCAGAUCCUCUAUACUUCCGAUAGCAAAAGAGCCCAAAUAGUAUUAAUAGUAUUCUAAUUCAACUCGAUAUCAAACAGCUUAUUUUUUUAGGCUAAAUUAUAAAAAAGCCUUCUUGAAAUCUACCACUUAUCUUAAUAUCCUCAUGUAUAAAAAAUUACAUCAAUUAUCUCUCUACAUUUUGUCAUUAUCUUAAAAAAAUCCGCCUAUUCAAAAUAAUUGUUGAAUUCAACUAUAAAACUUUAUAAAAAUGCAUUUGCAGAUAAAAUUAUAUGUAAGUAAUGCAAAAGAACUAUAAAAAUUGAAUAAAUUGCUAGAUAAGCAAUUAUUUUUGAUAGUAUUAGAAAAAUAGAAGAUCUCAUUUAUCUAAAUUUUUAUAUUUUUUUUUGAGUUGCAAGUUGGGUAUUUACUGAGAUGUGAAAUAAUAUGAUAUGCUAACCCGUUUUAGUUAAGUUUUACAGCUUAAUUUGUUAGUUCUUUAAUUUUUUGGAUCUAUUUGAGAUGAAAACAAAAUAUAGGACGGUAAUUAGUACAAUUUUUAAUACAAGAGGAUAAUUGAGGCUGAGGUUAAAGUGCACAAAAGUUUUUUGUAAUUUAGUUUUUUUUUUUACGACGUCUUUUACUACAGCAUAAAAUACUAUUCUGAAAAUCAGACCAAAUAUACACAAAGUAACAGUUCACAUUUUCUAGAAGAAUUUAAAUGUAAAUGCUCUUUAUGUUUUUAUUAGAUACAACAUAAUAUGCCCAAUUUUGCAUUUUUUAUGUCAUCCAAAGGCAAAGCAAGGAGCAUCAUUCAACACAGCCAGGAUAUAUUUGAUAGUGGAGCUGAAAAACCCAAAAAAGAAAAAAAAGAAAAAGAAAAGAAAAGAGAGGAUGAAAAAACAAAAAAUAAAAAGAAAUAAAGAAAAGGACAUGCAUGACUUGAUUCCUUGGGAGGUGGAAACUGUGGCCACCAAUCUCAUGCUGCCCCCUCUUUUGUCCUCACAUUGCUGAAAUUUUAUGCAGCCCAUCACUUCCCAAGUGCAGCCCCAUCACUACCAAGUUGUUUUCGAUGAUACAGCUUUCGAAUCGACGAUCAAAUCAAUCGAAAAAUUAUAAAAUUUAGUUUCCAAAUAUUUUCAAUAGUGUAAAUCAAAUCUAAUAGAGCCGAUCAUCGAUUUGAAAGCUGCAUCAUUGAAAACAACUUGGUAGCACGGAGGCUUCCGUACUACCGAUAGUAUACCAGCCUAGCUCUCUCUCUCUCUCUCUCUAUAUAUAUAUAUAUAUAUAUAAUUUGGCUAGAAUACUAUUAAUAGCAAAAUACCCUUUUGUUUCCAAGUUUUAAUUCUUGGAUGAAAAAUUAUAGGGUUAGAAUGAUAUUAGUUCUUUAAGGUUGAGUGGUCCCCUAAGGUUAAGUGGUCCUCACUGGGAUUAUAAUAUUUAAUCCAAUGCUUAGAAAUGAUGAAAGGAGUUGAUCCAAAAGCUAAAAAUUUGAUAGCAAAAAGAACGUAUUGCUAUCAAUAGUAUUCUAGCCCAAGCUCAUCUAAAAUUAAUAAUAUAUAUAAUAUAUAUAUUAUAUAUAAUAUAAAGUAGAGUGGGCUGUAAAUGCUUCUGGUAAGGCACGGAGGUCUGUGCUUCUAUAAGAAUUCUUGGUUUUUGAUGAUUGGACUUUCAAAUCGACCGGAUACGACUCUAAAACAACUCAUAAACGGAGCACGAUCGAGCGAUUCGAAAAGUAUUACAAACAUCAAAAACAAGAGCUGUGAAGCACGGAAGCUGCCGUGCUUCGACAGAUAGUAUAAGUAAGCUCAUCUACAUAAUAUAGUAUAUAUAUUUUUAUAUAUGUAAGUGGGAAUUUAACUGGUAUCGCUUACUGGAGCACCGGAGAGGACUCUUGUGCUGUUACACAAUAAAGAUUUUUGUUUUUGAGAUGUUCGGACUUAAUACCAAAUCGAAACAUCGAGCUAUAUCGUUAAGAGUUGAUCAAUAAGAGUGAUUUGAAAGUACACCUAGAAAAAUAAAUUUUAUGUGAUUUUUUUGAUAUCAUUUGCCUAGUAAUGAAGGGGCUCAAAAUCAAUAAAUUUUAACACGUUGCAAGUUACGGAGACGAGUUUGCAAAAGUUUUAAAAGACUGGUAAUAAAAAAAUACCCAAUCAGCACAUAGAAUUUUGAGAUAGUAAAAAUAUCUUUAAUACCACAAUAUAGAAGAAGAACUCAAUAACUUUGAUCUAAAAUUUUAAUGUCAAUAUCAUCAGUAUUUUGUCACGAUUUUUAUUUUACAGCACAAUUAGAUUUUGAAGCCACUUGAUCACUAAGGCAAAAUGAAUAAUCGAAAAAUUGCAAAUUUAUAAUUUUCAGUUUUUAGAGUAUCUUCAAAAUACUCAAUUAGAACCUCAAGUCUAAGCAGUUGUCAAUCGUAACGAUUGAAAGUUCGAACAUCGAAAACACUUGGAACAGAAAGCGCAUCUGUGCCUUAUACAGAAGCCAUACCAUGUACGCACAUAUAUAUAUAUAUUAUAAAAAUACGAGUUGGACUGGGAGCUACAUAUUAGUAGCUAAAAAUCAUCAUUGAUUUGUAUAUAAAGUAUUUUUAGCCUUUGAGAUCAACCUUUUUUAUUCAUUUCUAAUCGUCAUUGGAUUAAAUACUAUAACCAAGUGGGGACCACUCAAACCCUUAGGGACCAACUCCAUUCUAACACGUAAUAUAAUCCUGACUACUACAUUUUCAUCCAAGGGUUAAAACUUUGAUAGGCAAAAAAAACAGCGUUUUUUAAAACAUUAUAGUAUUAAGACCAGCCAUACUUAUAUAAUAUAAAUAUAUAUAUAAUAUUAUAAUAAUAUAAUUUUAAAAUAAAAUUUAUUUUCUAGGUACUUCAAAUACUCUAGAUCAAGUUUAACGGAGCCGAUCAACGAUUCGAAAGUCGCAACAUCAAAAACGAGCUGGAAGCACGGAAGGCUCCGUGCUUCCGAUAGCAUAGUAGCCUCAUAUAUAAAGAGAGAGAGAGAGAGAGAGAGUCCAGUUGCUAUACUUUUAUUAGUAUAAACCUUUGUUAGUUAAUUCGCGAAUUAUUUGCAAAUUAUUAAAAAUCCGAAUUAAAUGAUCCGUUUACAAAUUUUUUCUGAAGAAAAUGAAUUAUUCGUGAAUUUUUGGGCCAGUCGAAUAAUUUGCGAAUUAUUUUCAAAUUAUUAAAAAUCUGAAUAAAAAACUAAUAAUUUUUAUAUUUAAAUAUAGAUUAUCUUAUAUUUUAUAUCUUAUAUUUUAUAUUUUAUAUCGAAUCGUUUUUUAAGCCGAAUUUUUCAACUAAUUUUAAAAUUAGAAAACGAAUUUUUUACAUAUUAUAACCAUACCGAAUUUUUGCUGAAUCUAAAUUAACUAAGUAUGGAAUAGAUACCUUUUUACUUAUAAGUUUUUGACCGUUAAAUCUAUCCCUUUGACUACUUUCAUCCAUUAGAUCAUACUAUUCAACCAACUACCCACUCAACUCUAAGAAACCACUAUUAUUCUAAUCGGGGACCACUAUCAUUCUAACAGCACAUCCCUUCAUCCAACUGCCGAAAACUUAUGAGUACAAAAGGAUCUAUACUCAUAAGAGUAUGGUAACCCUUCAAUAUAUAUAUAUAUAUAUAUAGAGAGAGAGAGAGAGAGAGAGAGAGAGUCCGACUACUAUACUCUUAUAACUACGAUUGUUCUUGUACUCAUAAAUUGUUUUCAAUGAUAUAGCUUCCGAAUUGACGAUCCAUACCGUUAAACAUUAUCUAGAACAUUUAAAACGUUUAGAAAUCAAAUUUUAUAACUUUUCGACAUCAUUUACCUUACGAUCAAAAAGUCACAAAAUUGACAAUUUUUAACGGCCGGUAUGAGAUACUUGCUAGUUUAACAGUGUAAAAGAAUUGGAAUCGGUUUAAUUUUUGAUAGAAAAUUCUAUUCACUACGUAGAUAAAGAUCAAUAACUCCGAUCUUAAAUUGAAGGAUCCGAUCAUCUAUUUUUAAGACGUCAUUCGAUUUUGACCGUUCAUUUUAUACCCGCCUGAUGAACUUUAUUAUGAUUUCAAAAAAUUACGAAAUUUAUUUUCUAGAAGUUUUAAAUACUCUUGAUCAUAUUUAAUGGGGUGGAUCGUCAAUUCGAAAUCGCAAUCAUUGAAAACAACUUAUGCGUAUGAAGGCCUCUAUACUCAUAAGAGUAUAGUAGCCGUAGGCUAUAUAUAUAUAGUAGGUCUUAUGUGCUAUUAGAAGCACGGAGGCCUCCGUGCUCCGAAGUCGUUUUCAAUAAUGGAGUUUUUGAAUCGACAAUUCGCUCCGUUAAACUUGAUCUCACAUAUUUGAAGUAUAUACUAUACUAUUAAGAAUGCAACAGCUCUUUUACUCCUAAAUUCUUAAUCAUCUAUUAAUUUUGAUGGAUGGUUAAGAUUAAUAUCUCAUUUCUCUCUCAAUUUUUCUUCUUUCUGAAUUUCUCCUUCAUUUCUCUUUUCUUUCUCAGCCUAACCACCUAUCAAAAUUGAUAGAUGGUCCCUUAAGGGUUAGAGAGUUUGCGACAAUUGCCUCCUCGUGGGUUAUUUGUUUAGAGUGGAAAAAAAGAAUUUUUGAGAAAAAAAACACAUCAUGAGUCGAAAAUGGCUGAGACUCGCUUUUUUAGAAACCUGUAGAACCUUUAAUUAUGUUAUGUAGUUUUUUUUUUUUAAUGAGGCCCGGUUAUCUUAAUCUGUAAUAUAAUUCGACUUCUAAAAUGAAUCAAGCAGUAGCAUAUAUACUAUUUUUUUUCUAAAAAAAUUAUACUAUUUUUUUUAUUGAGAUCUUCUUAAUUUUUUAAUUUUUAAAAUCAAAUAAUUUUAGCCAAUUAAGUUAGAGAUUUUAUUAAAGUAAUUGGUAUAUUCAUCAAAUUAAUAACUUUGAUUAGUUUUAGUAAUGAAAAUUAUUACUAAUUAGCAGCUAACAGCAUAUUGAGACAUUAAAUUUAAUAAAAGUUUUAACUUAACGAAGUAAAAACUGAAAUAAAGAAAAGGAGUUUUCCCUCGCUGCUAUUUAAAAUUUUUAAAUUUAUCUUUCUAUUCUCAAAAUACUCUUCUAAACACCAAAUUUCAUAAAUAAACGCUAGACCGAGUCAUAUAUUUGAAGGAAUUUUUUGUAAUCAAAAGGAGCAUAUUGAUCGGUCAAGAACGUAUUAAAUAUUUUUAAAUCGCUGAAUGGUAUAUUAGAUAUUAUCCGUAAAAACAAUUUGAAAUUGAUGACUCCCAAUCUUUGUUAGUUAAUUCGUGAAUUAUUCAUGAAUUAUUGAAAAUCCGAAUUAAACGGUCCGUUUACGAAUUUAUUCCAAAUACAAUAAAUUAUUCGCGAAUUUUUGGGCCAGCCGAAUAAUUCGCGAAUUAUUUGCGAAUUAUUCCGAUCGAAUUAUUGAAAAUCUGAAUAAAAAACUUAUAAUUUUUAUAUUUAAAUAUAAACUAUCUUAUAUUUUAUAUUUUAUACCGAAUUCAGUUUUUAAGCCGAAUUUUUCAACGAAUUUAAAAGUUAGAGAAUAAGUUUUAUGCGUAUUAUAUCCGUACCGAAUUUUUGGCGAAUCCGAAUUAACUAACUAUUCUCCCAAUCAAAAUAAAAAUAGUUGAAGGAUGUAUUUCAAGAUUGCCUAUAGUCGAGGGAUCUUUAUACAUUUUUACUUUCUUUUACACCUACUGGGUCAAGAUUGUGUUGUUAGGCGCAGAUUUUCUUGCACCUUAGUCGUGCAGAAAAUUUCUACAUAUAUAUUCUACGUUAUCAUUAUUGGUGGGUAUUACUUAAUUUUUAAUCAUUUUGAUUCUCAUAAUGUAGUAUACAGAAAUUUCCUGCACUGUAAGUCACGUUUCAAAGACUAGGUGCUCUACGUUGAUUCAUAUACAUAUCUAUGAAGAAAAUUUUGUAGAUGUUGAAGUUGUGAGACAAAUAUGGGACCCGCAGAAUCGCACACGAAUCUGCGGGUCCCAUAUUUGCCUAGUGAACGAAGGGGCUCAAAGUCAACAGCUGAAAAUAAAAAUCUUACAAAAUGUAAUAAUAUGACAUUAAAAUUUUAAAUCAAAAAUAUUGAUCUUGUUUUAUAUAGUAUAAAGAAUUUUCUAUUAAAAUUUCACGUGAUUUGGAUAUUUCUACACCGUUAAACUUGCAAACGGCUCACUACGGCUAUUGAAAUUUGUUGAUUUUGAGCCCAUUUGAUCACUAGGCAAAUGAUAUCGAAAAAUAAUAAAAUUUAUUUUCUAGGUACUCCAAAUACUCUAGAUCAAGUUUAACGGAGCCGAUCGAGUCGAUAAUUCGAAGUCGCAACUCGAAAACGAGCUGAAAGACGAAGGCUCCGUGCUUCAGUAGCAUAGUAGCCUUACUCUCUCUCUCUCUCUUCCUCUCUCUACGUUCUCUCUCUCUCUCUCUCUCUAUAUAUGAAUACUACCUAUAACAUAUAUAAUAUAUAUAAUUACGGGCGCUGUGUCUUCAGGAGCACGGACGCGCGCCUCCGUGCUCCUGGCCGUUAUACGCGCAUGAUGGAAUUUCGAAUCGACGAUCGGCUCCGUUUAACUUAAUCUAGGGCUAUUGAAGUUUCUAGAAAAUAAUUUUGAUGAUGUUUUGAUAUCUUUACCUAGUUAUCGAAAGGAUUCAAAACUCAAUAAUUAUAAUGGGUUAUAUCUCUCACUCACGGCUGUAGAAGUAUUCCAAUCAGUAUUGAAUUGUGAUACAAUGAAAUUUUUUGUAACUAUCUACAACUGGAAUCAAUAUUUCUGAUCGGAAAAUUUUAGUGCUAUAUCCACCUCUCUUCACUCGCACCUCUCUACUCUCUUUAGCCGGUUAAAAAUUAUGAUAUUUUGAAUCCUUUCUGAAUUGCUAGUAAACUCACUAUCGAAAAAUCGCCAAUAACUUAUUUACUAGACACAAUUUAAAUACGGCUAGAUCAACGGUCUAACGAGCUUGCAUCCAUUCGAAAUUCAUCAUCGAAAACGCUCACGGAACAAACAAACAAAAAAAAAAAAAUAAAAAAAACAAACAAAAAAAACAAAAAACACAAACAUAGGGAAAAAAAAAAAUAACACGCCUUGAGUAGCCAACAGUCCUGCUCUCUCUCUCUCUCUCUCUCUCUCCUCUAUAUAUAUCAUUAUAUAUAUAUAUACUAUAUACUCUCACUCAGCAGGAAUUUGAUCGCACGUAUGAGCCGUUCUUGAUGAGAACAAUAUAUAUAUAUAUCACGUUGUCGCUGAGCCGUUUCGAUGAUGAAACAAUAUAAUAUAAUAUACUAUAUAUAUAUAUAUAUAUAAUAUACACCAAUAUAUAUAUAAUAAAUAGAAGAUACGGCCUACUAUAUAUUAUGAGUACGAUCGGUAUCUCGUACUCAUAAGUUAUUUUCGAUGAUAAGCUCCGACAUCCCCACAUCCACACGAUUAAAUGUUAUUACAGUAUUUAUACUUCUAGAAAUUAAUUUAUAUAAUUUUCAAACAUCAUUUACCUUACAAUCAAGCGACCUCACACCACUCUGACAAUUUUUAACGGUCUUUGAUGGAAUACUGCUAGUUUAACGGUGUAAAGAGAGCAAUUUGUUUGAAUUAUUUGAUAAAAAAUUCUAUUCACUACACUCACACAGAUCAAUAACUCCGAUCUUGAAGUGAAGCUCCGAUCAUCCUUUUUUAAAUGCUGUCCCCGAUUUGACUUCAUUUUAUGCCCCGCUGAUGGACUUAUCUUAUGAAUUUCGAAAAAUUAUGACAAUAUUUCUCACAACACUUUCAAAUACUCUAAACAUUCAUAUUAAUGAGUGGAUCGCUCGAUUCCACACUGAUCCAUUAAAAAAACAUCUCACCCAAUAGUCUCACAUCGGAUGGAAUUGAGGUCUUUUCAUUGGUUAUAAGAGACUUAGACAUUAUAGUAAAAUAACUCUCCUACCACCAUUUGGCGGUGUUUGGCCCAAGCAUAUUAUUGAGCAAUAGUGGCGCCUGGUGUUGUGUUUGUAUGCAGAGCGGCUCAACAGCUUGGACAGUGUGUUGUUGCUUGCGAGUCUCGGCUUAAGCCCAGCGGACUGUUCACGAUCUGGAUGACGCUCUAGACGAGUCUCACAUUGCCUCUGAUCUUGCUGUAGUGUGUAUUGGAACUGACGCAGACUCAGCUCCUUAGAGCGGUAGUCGCCUUACACCAUACAGUCCCACAUGUGAUGGAAACGUUGUCAUUGGUUUAUAGGACUUAGACUAAUAAUAAUUAACUGGGUUAAGCCAUUUGCCUGUGGCUUACAUACUUAUGAGUACGAAGCACUCCAAUAUCAUAAAGUAGAUAAUACCCAUGGCCUAUAUAUACUUAUAUACUAUAGAGUUGGCUGUAUGCUUCGUAGCACGGCAGCCUCCUGCUCCACUUUGUUUCGCAUGUUUGGACUUUCGAAAUCGACGAUCGGGUCUCCGGUUAGAGUUGGAUCUAGAUUAUUUAAGCUACAAGAAGAUUAAAUUGCGAUUUUUCGAUAUUUUUCGCCUAGUGACGAAGGGCUCAAAAUCAAAAUUUAACAGGCCGGUGGUGAAGCCGGUUGCCAGUUUAACGGAUGUAGAAAUAUCAAAUCACGUGAAAUUUUCAUGGAAAAUCUCUAUACACUAUAAACAAGAUCAAUAACUUUGAUCUAAAAAAUUUAAUUCAUAUCAUCAUAUUUUUUGUUCACACUCUCUCUCUUCAGCGUUUUGAUUUCUGAACCACUUCGACACUAUGGCAAAUGUAUCGCAAAUAAUCGCAACAAUUAUUUCUACAUCACUUCAAUAACUCUAGAUCAAGUCUAACAGCCACGUCGUAUUUUAAAGUCGUGCCCAAAAUCGAAACAAGAUGGAAGCACGGAGCGCUCCAUUGCUUCCGAAGCACCCAGACCAACUCCGAUUAUAAUAUAUAUAUAUAUAUUAUAUAUAUAUAUAUAUAUAUAAUAAUAAUAUAUAAUAUAUGCUAGGCUGUAAAAUUUCUGCAUGUAAGAUCACGUUGCAAAGACUAGGCGCUCUACGUUCGAUUACAUAAUACAUACCAACCCUAAUGUAACGAAAAUUUUGAUAGCAUGAUUGAAAUUUGGAGACAAAUAAUCCCACCAGAAUGCAACGAAAUCUUGCGGAAACAGCACAGAGCUAAGAACAAGUUAAACAUAACGCCUUUUAAAUAAUAUCGUAAUUUAUUUAUAUAGUAAAACGUGAACUAUGCUUGUCCUGUCAAAAGCGAAUGAUUCUUUUAUAUCUGCUUGCUGCGCGAGAAGCUAUUGAUGUUAUAUAAACACUUUAUUUCGUCAUAUAAAGUUAUAUAGUGUUUUAUUCAGUAGUGCAUUAUUUAUUAUCUUGUCACAUAAAAUAGGAUGAUUUUGAGAGUAUCUUAGUAUGGUUUCGCCCUCAAAAGCAUUUUUUUCUGAUCACUAUACUUAUGAUUCGAUUUUGUCACUCGUAUGGACGCUUAAUCUAUUGGAGUUACUAUACUUCAUCUAGGAGUGUAUGAAUAUACAUUUCAUCAUUCACAUGAUAGCAUUUAUGAGUGUAUCAUUUAAUAAGCUUAAAAUAUAGACAAAUGUAUCUUAAUGAUAUAGAUUUAUUUAUUUGAGUUGCCUUCAUAAAAUAUGUGGAUGUUUUAUAGUACACUCUAUUAAAUUUUCAUAUAAUUUUCUCCGCGAAAUAUCUCUAUAUAACCCAUUCGCACUUCUCAUUUAGUAUUUUCUGUUUAAAGUGCUAAUCAAUUGUUCCCUGAUGUUUCGUUUUUCUCUUUUAUUAAAAUUUUAUUAUAUUUCUUCAACAGUGACAAAGUCACACACUCACACAACUAAAGUAAAUAUCGUUAAUUAGAGUUUUCUUGAUCGUGACAUUCGACUAUAUAUUGAUUGACGUAUUAAAUCUAUAUUUCAGAAUACUCUCGUCUCACAUAUUUAUGAUUUGGAGAUUAGAAUCCGAGUACAGGAUCCCUUUAGUUUUAACGGACGGUUCUAUUGAUCCGAAGAUAUGGGAACUGCGCUCCACAUAGUCUCCAUUGCAUCCUAAUGACUCCACUCAUUAUGAACCAAACACAAAACACUACUAGAAGAAAAAUAAUCGAAUUCAACGGACGAAAUAUCACCAAUAACAGAGGAACACGCGGAAGACACCCACCCGCUCUACAAAAACCUAUAUCGAUAACUCACAAUCGCUAUAUGGCGAGAAAACUGACCACAACCUGGGGUCACUCAAGCACACAAUACCUUCGAUGCAGAUCUCUUAACACAACAUAAUGCAUACUCGCAUUGCCUCAAAAAUUAACCCCCACUCGGAUGGCCCAUGGAUACAACACUGAAUGAAACAAAACAGAGAAGAGAAUAACGUUAGUGGCAGGAAAAAUUGCCACGGACUAACCACUCACACUCACUAAAAACAGAAAACCCAUCUCACAUAAUUUCCAUUCUCACUCUAACCCAACACAGAGAUAAAACACGAACAGAAGGAGAGAGAACGAGACAAACCAAGCAAAAAUACGACAAAAGCUCGGUUACUCCUUCUAGCUCGUGCGCUCUCGCACUAAAAGCGAGAUUCUAUACUCGCGACGACCCCUCUCACACGAUCAGAUCAGUAAGCAACAGCAGCAUCCGAAUCCAUCGGCGACGGCUCUACAAAAACACGACUGUAACAAUGAGGCGUGCGCCACGGUACUACAAAUUGAAAGUCGUCCUCCAGUGUGGGAUCAGGUUACCGCACCUCCGGAAACAUCAUCGAACUACCCACUAAGUAUAAAGAUCUAAGCUCAGUUGAUAGAAAAAAGAAGCCUGAACAAUAUACAGCUAUAUGCUAUCCUAUCACGAUCCAAUACUACUAUCUGGUUAGCAGUUAUGCAAUCUCCGGACUCAAUCCAUAUGGGGACUGUGGUAAUACACNNNNNNNNNNNNNNNNNNNNNNNNNCUCUCUCUCUCUCUCUCUCUCUCUCUCUCUAUAUAUAUAUAUAUAUAUAUAUAUAUAUAUAUAUAUAUAUAUAUAUAUAUAUAUAUAUAUAUAUGCUAGGCUGGUAGAAAUUUCUUGCACUGUAAGUCACGUUGCAAAGACUAGGCGCUCUACGUUGAUUCAUAUACAUACCUAUGAAGAAAAUUUUGUAGAUGUUGAAGUUGUGAGACAAAUAUGGGACCCGCAGAAUCGCACACGAAUCUUGCGAAGAAGCAGGAGCUAAGAACAAGUUAAACAUAACGCCUUUUAAAGUUUUUAUUGCGUAAUUUAUUUAUAAGUAAAAGUGAACAUAUGCUUGUCCCUCAAAAGGGGAAGAUUCAUUUUGAAAAUUCUGCUUUUGCUGCGCGUAGAAGCUAUUUGGAUGCAAUUUGAUGAAAAAACAAAAGUAUUUCGUCAAAUAAUUUUUCUCAAAGAUUAAUAGCGUGGAAGUGCCGCUUGAGUAUCUUCAGUAGUGCAAUUUUUGUCGAUUUAAUCCAACGUUUAUUUUGCUUUUUGUCUUGUCACAUAAAAAUAGAGAUUUUGAGAGUAUCUAGUAUUCGCUCAAUAAGAUUGUUAUUCAUCACUAACUUAUGAUUCGAUUGUUGUACCUGAUGGACGCUUAAUAUAACAAACAGGAUGUAUGAUAUACAUUCUAUUUAGAGUGUAUGAUAUACAUUCACUCAUUCAAUGAAUAGAGUUGUUUCACUGAUCAUAUGAUGUAUCAUGUAAUAAGUAAAAUAUAGACAAAAUGUAUGAUAUAGAUUUUAUUUAGAUUGUAUGGGUAGAGUUGCUCAUUAUAAAAUAGUGGUGGAUGGUUUUAUAGUACACCGUCCUUCUAUGUGGGAAGAUCUUUCAUAUAAUUUUGGGAAAACUUUAAAAACCCAUCUAGUGGUUCCGCACUUUCUCAUUUUAGUAUUUUCUGGUUUAAAGUGUAUCAAUUUGUUCCCCUGUGGUUUCGUUUUUCUCUUUUUAUUAUCAAUUUUAUUAUUAUUUUUCUUAAAUCAGUGACAAAGUUAAAAUUAAAGAGUACUAAAGUAAAUAUUCGAUAAAUCUAGAUGGGUAUCUGAAGUUUUUUGUAUAUAAAUUAAUGAAAUAUUAAGAAAACAUGUGGCGAAAAGAUAAAAACAAAACCACAGGGGAUAAAUUGAUACACUUUAAAUCACAGAUACUAAAAUAAGAAAGUGAGAAACUACAAUAGAAGUUUUUGAAGUUUUUUCUAUAAUUUUUGCUCAGCAUUAAAAAAUCAAAAAAUAUUUUGAGACUAUUUGUCACCCUCAAAGUACUUUUCAUAUUUUGAAAAGUAAUAAUACAAGCAUAAAAGGUACCGUCAAAAUAUUACUUUUUCGUGGCACAUGAAUACUACUAUUAAACAACUGCAAAUAGAGCUCCUACUUAGAUACCAUGUUGAACAACAAAUUAUCUUUAAAAGAUGGGAAAACUUCAAAAACCCCCCUUAUGGUUUCAAAUUUUUUCACUUUAGUACCCUGUGAUUUAAAAUGUAUCAAAUUAGUACCCUGUGGUUUCUCACUUUAUCACUUUAGUACCCUGUGGUUUAAAAUGUAUCAAAUUAGUACCCUGUGGUUUUACACUUUAUCACUUUAGUACCCUGUGGUUUUAAUUUUGUAUCAAGUUAGUACCCUAUGAUUUUUUAAACCACAGGAUAUUAAAGUGAUAAAGUGUGAAACCACAAGGUAGUAAAGUGAUAAAGUGCAAAACCACAGGAUACUAACUUGAUACACUUUAAACCACAGGGUACUAAAGUGAUAAAGUGAGAAACCACAGGGUACUAACUUGAUACACUUUAAACCACAGGGUACUAAAAUGAAAAAGUGUGAAACCACAGAGGGAAUUUUUGAAGUUUUCCCUUAAAAGAUUUAAUUGUCGGAGAAUGAUAAUUUUAAUAUUCUAUAUUCCUCAGUUAUUUAUUAUUAUUUUUUUUUCCUAAGUGGCUGUUUGGUUCUACGUAAAAUUGGGAAAAAAAAAUUUCGGUGGAAAAAAAGUUUUACGUAGUCAGUGUUUGGUUUGUAGGAAGAGAAAAAUAGUUUUCCAUGACGGUUGUUUGGUUGAAAAGAAAAAAAAAGUAGAUUAAAACAUAUUUAAUAUAUUUUUUAUUAUAUAUAUUAUUAUUAUAUAAUAAUUAAUAUACUAUAUAUAUUAUUUUACUAUAAUUUUUAUAUAUAGAUUAAAUAUUUAAAAUUAUAAUAAAUAUAUUACACAAUAUAUAAGAGUUAUAUAUUUAAAAAUAUUAAUAAAUAAUUACAAAUUUAUAAAUAAAAUAUUAUAUAAUAGUAUUUCUAUAUAAAAAUAAAUGAAUAUAUAAUAAAUAAUAUAUAUUCAUAACUAAAUUAUAUAUAUAAUAUAUAUAUAUAUAUUAUAUAUAUAUAUAUAUAUAUAUAUAUAUAAUAUAUAUAUAUAAAGAGAGGAGAGGACACUCUCACGCUGUCACAAGGCGAGGAUGACCUCGUGGACCGCGUGCUCAAACCUCUCUUGAGCCGCGCCUUUUCAUCAAUGGGUUUUCGUUUUCCACGGACGGCAAGCGAAAAACGAAAACUUAGUUUUUCAUAGAAUCUAUAAAAAAAAAUGUUUUCCAAAAAAUUUUCUUAUGGGCAACCAAACGUCGGAAAAAAAAUUUUCAACCGAAAAGAAAUUUUCGAAGCAGUUUUACAUGGAUCCAAACACACCCUAAACUAAUCUUUUAAAUAAUAUGUUAUCAUCAAUAUUAAAGUUUCUUCCAUUUCCAAAAAAUUUGACCUAAAUUCUAAUAUCCAUAAUUUUAUGGCCCAUAUUCUUUCUCUGUUCUUAUUUAUGUUAUCCUAUCUCCAUCAUACAUGUAAGUUGGGAUGUUAAGAUUAUUUUUAAAUUAAUUAAUUAUUCUCUAUCUUAUCAAUCUUCUGAGUAUCACGCACUUUGUCUUCCAAUUAAGAACAAUAAAUUCAAAUUUUUUUAUUUAUAAAUAUUUUAUUAUGAAUAAUUGUAAUUGAAAAUAAAAAUAAAAGCUCAAUGGGUGUGUUUGUUUGUACAAAGUGAUUUUCAAAUAAAACAUGACUCUCAGUUUGAGCUGAGGUUUUGAUUAGAAAACUUUUACUGCUAUAUAUUUAUAUAAUCAAAAGCUACGAUCACACAUUGAAGGAUGAAACACCCAAAAAAUCAAAAUCAAAGACCAAAACGAUAUUAAAAAAAUAUAAUGUUUUUGAAAAAUAAAGUUAUGAAUAAUUUUAAUUUAUAAAAAUAUGGAAGACGAAAGGAGUCGAAAUCAAUCUCACCUCUCCACUUUCCAUGAAACAAAUCUGCCCCAGAACGUGACACCCGUGCGGCUGCGAAAUGCCUACUUUUUCUUUUUAUUUUUUAUUUUUUAUUUUUUUCUUUUUUUUUUUUGAGAUCGACGUGUCGAACACGCACUUUAAUUUUCGCGCGCAUGCAGAGAAAGUGCCAAGUUGGGUAUCGUUUUCCAGUUUCAAACUUACACUCCUUGUUUGUUCAAGUUGGCGUAGCAAUAAUAGAGGAUUAUUUUUCUCAUUUAUUUUCCAUGGGGGAAAAUUUCACUACUAGUCCCCGUACUUAAUACCAAGUUUUAUUUCGGUCCUCAAACUUAUGAUUUUGAUAAUCGGGAUCUUGAACGUUUUUAGGAACUAUUUGGUUAGAUGUAAUUACAAAUACAGUGUAGUUAAAAAUGCAUGCUGUUGAAAAUGCAUGCUGUUGAAAAUGCAGCAGUUACAACUAUAUGUAUCCUGUUUGGUUGGAUGUAAUAAAAAGCACUGUAACUGUAAAGAAUUUGUUUGGUUGCAUGCAGUUAAGAAACGAGUUUUAUAAAUUUAACCCUUUGAUUAUUUUUAUCCGUUAGAUUAUACUAUUCAACCAACCACUACUCACUCAACCCUAGGAGGCCCAUAUCAUCCUAACUACACAUUUCUCAAUCCAAAGACUAAAAAGUUAAUAGCACCAAUAGCUUGGUGUUAUUAAUAGUAUUCCAGCCAAGUUCUAUAUAUAUAUAUAGNAUAUAUAUAUAUAUAUAUAUAUAUAUAUAUAUAUAUGAUGGUGAGGUUAACACCAAUGUAAAAAAAGAAAAAAUAUUUUUUGUUUAAAUAAUUAAUAAGGUAAGUUUAUCUUUUGCUUAAAGUUAUUCUCUCCAACUGUGGUAGUUGGAUCUACCUCCAAAUUGACCGUAGUUUCAACUGCUGUAGUUGGGCCUCUUCCUGCAGUUCCUACUAUAACAGUUGGAGUUAAAUAUAUCAAACCAAACACGAAAUUGGUAUUUGUAUACAGUUACAACUGUAGUACAGUUGUAACUACAUGCAAGCAAACGGCUCCCUGUAGUUUUAUUUUAGUCCCAAAACUCCUAAUUAUGUACCAAAUUCAUUCGUAUAUCCAUACGCCAUGAAUACAUCACUUUUUUUAUUUAUCUCG